rnacentral:rRNA from 1 species
UAGGGAAUAUUGGUAAUCUGGGAAACCGGGAACCAGCAACGCCGCGUGCGCGAUGAAGGCCUUCGGGUUGUAAAGCGCUUUUUAAAGGGAUGAGGAAGGACAGUACCUUUAGAAUAAGCCUCGGCUAACUACGUGCCAGCAGCCGCGGUAAAACGUAGGAGGCGAGCGUUAUCCGGAUUUACCGGGCGUAAAGCGUGUGCAGGCGGUUUGAUAAGUUGGAUGUGAAAGCUCCUGGCUUAACCGAGAGAGGUCGUUCAAAACUAUCAGACUAGAGAGUGGUAGAGGGAGAUGGAAUUCCGCGUGUAGUGGUGAGAUGCGUAGAUAUGCGGAGGAACACCAGUGGCGAAAGCGGUCUCCUGGCCCAU